AUGGAGCCGCAUGGGGCCAACCCAAUGGUGAUGUGCCAAGCGGAGGCGGAAGAGGAUAGGAGGAAUCCCGAGGUGGACAAUGACAAGACUAUCAUGUCGGCGCUUGAUGCUGAGAUUGCUGUGGGCCCGGUGGGAUCGGGAGAAGCUCUGAGGGGCCCCGUGCCUGCCCCCUCGAUGCUAGUGGUGGGAGCCACAGAAGGAAUACCGAGGCAUGCAGAUAAGGCUACUGUCGAGGGUACGUGGGAUGCGUCGGCCCCUCCACUCACACUGCAUGAGGGGUUGGAUAGUGGGGCCUUUGAUGGGAAUCAUGGCCAUGCAUGCACGGAGACACUCGUUCGGCCCGGGAUUGAGAUUUCUGCUGUGGUCCCCGGCUUUUUGGACACGAAUUUAUCCAACUUGGCUGCCCUGGAAGACUUGGAGACACACCCACAUGCAUCUUGUGAAGAACAAAGGGCUCUAGCAACACUCACGGAGGGGAUGACUACUCAGGAAGAUUUGGCAUUCACUCGGCUGAAAAGCUUUUGCUCCAACAUUGUGAAGAAGCUUGCUCCUCCACUACUGAAAGAAGUUCAAGCCGCGACGCUUCGACCACAAACAGAGCCUUUCACUCCCAGGUGCACCACUCGCACGAUGAAGCGUUUGGCUCCUGCUUGCACCACCAAGGCCAUCCCGGUGGAAAACAUGCUGUUAAGGGCACUAGGUUUGGUUUCCGAGGAUCUCACUGUUGAUGAUGAGGCGGUCCAGGAGCUCAAGGACUUGUUUGACUCCCCCCUUCGAGAGCAACACGUGAGAGUGAUUGCGGCCUUGUUUGGCAAGACAGUUCCACUGCAUGACAGGGAGGCAAGUGCUGCGAGAAGCGUUGAGGAUAUAUAA
rnacentral:rRNA from 1 species